CAAACCAAAGCUGGCGACCGGCGCACGGGUGAGUAACACGUAUCCAACCUGCCUCAUACUCGGGGAUAGCCCUUCGAAAGAAAGAUUAAUAUCCGAUAGCAUAUAUUUCCCGCAUGGGUUUUAUAUUAAAGAAAUUCGGUAUGAGAUGGGGAUGCGUUCCAUUAGUUUGUUGGGGGGGUAACGGCCCACCAAGACUACGAUGGAUAGGGGUUCUGAGAGGAAGGUCCCCCACAUUGGAACUGAGACACGGUCCAA
rnacentral:rRNA from 1 species